rnacentral:rRNA from 1 species
UCCAGUUGAUCCUGCUGGAGGUCACUGCUAUUGGGAUUCGAAUGAGACAUGCAAGUUCAUCUAUUAGGUAAUAGUAGAUUGCGUACGGCUGAGGCAACACAUAGAUAACGUAACGUUAUGAGGAGGAUAUCCUCGGGAAACUGAGGUUAAUACUCCAUAGCAAUAAUUUUUGAAAUAAUUUUAUUGUGAAAGGUUAUUUCUAAUACCGAAAUAAUACGCAUAACGAUCGGUCUAUGCCUGAUUAGACUGUUGGUGAGGUAACGGCUCACCAAAUCUUAGAUCAGUAGGGGCCAUGGAAGUGGUUUCCCCCAGAAGGGUACUGAGACAAGGACCCUAGCACUACGGUGUGCAGCAGUCCCGAAAACUCCACAAUGCGCGAAAGCGUGAUGAGGGAAUCCCAAGUGUUCUUUCCGUUUCGGAAGGAACUUUUGCCACGUUUUGAAAUGGCGUGGCGAAUAAGGGCUGGGCAAGCGGGUGCCAGCAGCCGCGGUAAUACCUGCGGCCCGAGUUGUGACCAUUAUUAUUGAGUCUAAAGCGUUCGUAGCUGGUUUGGAUAGUUUGUGCUUAAAUCUUUUCGUUUAACGGAAAGGCACGGUAUAAAUACUUCUAGACUAGAGGCCGGGAGGGGAGAUGGGAACUUUUCGGGUAGGAGUAAAAUCCUUUAAUCCGAAAAAGACCACCAAUAGCGAAGGCACAUCUCCAGAACGGACCUGACGGUGAGGGACGAAGGCUAGGAGAACAAACCGGAUNNAAAUGCAGUGUGACAGCGAAGGCGUUAAGUAAGCCACUUGGGGAGUAUAAUCGCAAGGUCGAAACUUAAAGGAAUUGGCGGGGGAGCACAAAAACGGGUGAAAUUUGCGGUUUAAUUGGAUUCAACUCCGGGAAUCUUACCAGAAGCGACAGCAAUAUGAAGGUCAGUCUGAAGAACUUACCAAAUGCGCUGAAAGGUGUUGCAUGGCCAUCAUCAGUUAGUAUCUUGAGACGUCCCGUUAAGUCGGGUAACUAACAAGACCCUCUUCUAUAUUUGCUAACAUGCAAUCCGUUGCGAAUGAGCAAAAUAUAGAGACUGCUUUCGAAAGAAAGAGGAAGGUGAGGGCGACGGUAGGUCAGUACGACCCUAAUCCUCUGGGCUACACGCGAAUUGCAAUGGUAAAGGCAAUAGGAUGCCACUCCGAAAGGAGGAGCUAAUCCCCGAAUCUUUACCCUAGUUCGAAUCGAGGUCUGUAACUCGGCCUCGUGAAGGCGGAAUCCGUAGUAACCGCGUUUCAACAAAGCGCGGUGAAUACUUUCCUGCUCCUUGCACACACUGCCCGUCAAACCAAACAAGUUGGAUUUAGAUGAGAUUGUCGUUAUGCGAUAACCGAAUCUAGGUUCAGUGAGUAGGGUUAAGUCGCCACAAGGUAGCCGUAUGGGAACAUGCGGCUG